ACGGGUGAGUAACGCGUGGGAAUCUACCCAUCUCUACGGAACAACUCCGGGAAACUGGAGCUAAUACCGUAUACGUCCUUCGGGAGAAAGAUUUAUCGGAGAUGGAUGAGCCCGCGUUGGAUUAGCUAGUUGGUGGGGUAAUGGCCUACCAAGGCGACGAUCCAUAGCUGGUCUGAGAGGAUGAUCAGCCACACUGGGACUGAGACACGGCCUAGACUCCUACGGGAGGCAGCAGUGGGGAAUAUUGGACAAUGGGCGCAAGCCUGAUCCAGCCAUGCCGCGUGAGUGAUGAAGGCCCUAGGGUUGUAAAGCUCUUUCAACGGUGAAGAUAAUGACGGUAACCGUAGAAGAAGCCCCGGCUAACUUCGUGCCAGCAGCCGCGGUAAUACGAAGGGGGCUAGCGUUGUUCGGAAUUACUGGGCGUAAAGCGCACGUAGGCGGAUACUUAAGUCAGGGGUGAAAUCCCGGGGCUCAACCCCGGAACUGCCUUUGAUACUGGGUAUCUCGAGUCCGGAAGAGGUGAGUGGAAUUCCGAGUGUAGAGGUGAAAUUCGUAGA
rnacentral:rRNA from 1 species